rnacentral:rRNA from 1 species
AUUGAACGCUGGCGGCAUGCUUUACACAUGCAAGUCGAACGGCAGCGCGGGCUUCGGCCUGGCGGCGAGUGGCGAACGGGUGAGUAAUGCAUCGGAACGUGCCCAGUAGUGGGGGAUAGCCCGGCCAAAGCCGGAUUAAUACCGCAUACGACCUGAGGGUGAAAGCGGGGGACCGAAAGGCCUCGCGCUAUUGGAGCGGCCGAUGUCGGAUUAGCUAGUUGGUGGGGUAAAGGCUUACCAAGGCGACGAUCCGUAGCUGGUCUGAGAGGACGACCAGCCACACUGGGACUGAGACACGGCCCAGACUCCUACGGGAGGCAGCAGUGGGGAAUUUUGGACAAUGGGGGCAACCCUGAUCCAGCCAUGCCGCGUGCGGGAAGAAGGCCUUCGGGUUGUAAACCGCUUUUGUUCGGGAAGAAAUCCUCUGGGCUAAUACCCCGGGGGGAUGACGGUACCGGAAGAAUAAGCACCGGCUAACUACGUG